CCUACGGGUGGCAGCAGUAGGGAAUCUUCCACAAUGGGCGAAAGCCUGAUGGAGCAACGCCGCGUGGGUGAAGACGGUCUUCGGAUCGUAAAACCCUGUUGUUAGAGAAGUAAGUGCGUGAGAGUAACUGUUCAUGUUUCGACGGUAUCUAACCAGAACGCCACGGCUCACUACGUGACAGCAGCCGCGGUAAUACGUGGGUGGCAAGCGUUAUCUGGUUGUAUUGGGCGUAAAGGAAACGCAGGCGGUCUUUUAAGUCUGAUGUGAAAGCCUUCGGCUUAACCGGAGUAGUGCAUUGGAAACUGGGAGACUUGAGUGCAGAAGAGGAGAGUGGAACUCGAUGGGUAGCGGGGAAAUGCGUAGAUAUAUGGAAGAACACCAGUGGCGAAAGCGGCUCUCUGGUCUGUAACUGACGCUGAGGUUCGAAAGCGUGGGUAGCAAACAGGAUUAGAUACCCUUGUAGUC
rnacentral:rRNA from 1 species